rnacentral:rRNA from 1 species
GACGAACGCUGGCGGCGGGCUUAACACAUGCAAGUCGAACGGAAAGGCCCUGCUUUUGUGUGGUGCUCGAGUGGCGAACGGGUGAGUAACACGUGAGUAACCUGCCCUUGACUUUGGGAUAACUUCAGGAAACUGGGGCUAAUACCGGAUAGGAGCUCCUGCUGCAUGGUGGGGGUUGGAAAGUUUCGGCGGUUGGGGAUGGACUCGCGGCUUAUCAGCUUGUUGGUGGGGUAGUGGCUUACCAAGGCUUUGACGGGUAGCCGGCCUGAGAGGGUGACCGGCCACAUUGGGACUGAGAUACGGCCCAGACUCCUACGGGAGGCAGCAGUGGGGAAUAUUGCACAAUGGGCGGAAGCCUGAUGCAGCAACGCCGCGUGCGGGAUGACGGCCUUCGGGUUGUAAACCGCUUUCGCCUGUGACGAAGCGUGAGUGACGGUAAUGGGUAAAGAAGCACCGGCUAACUACGUG